GACUGCAAUCGUCCAGUUAAGGGAGGGGGGGACAGUAGCAGGACCGGUGAGGGAGUAGAGUAGGGGUGGUGUGGUGUUGCUGGAUCCUGGAUAUGUUUGGAAGAUGGAGCCAACAAGCCUUGCUGAUGAGUUGGAUAUGGAAGCCCAGAGUUCUGUCUGUGUUAGGCUCUCUGGAAUGUUCUUUGGCUGCAUGAUCCUCCAGUUACCGUCAAUUCCAACUCACGGUGACCGCUUGUGUGGGACCAAGUAGAACUGUGCUCCAUAGGGUUUUCAGUGCCUGAUUUUUCAGAAGUAGAUUACCAGCCCUUCUCCUGAGGCACCUCUGGGUGGACUUGAGUCACCAACCUUUCAUUUAGCAGCCAAGCGUGUUAACGUUUAUGCCACCCAGGGACUCUGCAUGCCGCCCCCUCAUUUUCCUAACAGCCCUCGAAGGUCUUUUUUUAUGCUUCAUUUCCCAGAGGAGGAAAUGGGCUGUUCACAAAGUCACAGUGACCUCUCAGACCCCCUCCCCUGUGGUAAGUCGGGGAGGGCUGUGACCCGGCUGUCUCCGAGAGUCUACACUCCCAUUCUCUAUGCCCAGGUGGUAUACUGCCGCCUGCUGCCUGUUCUUGCAUGGCCCACGAGCUAAGAGUGGUUUUACAUUUUUAAGUGGUUAAAAAAAAAAAAAAAAAAACUUAUAAAAAAAAUUUCGUAGCAUGUGAAAUUAGAUAAAAUUGCAGUAAUCCAAUAAGUAAAGUUUUAUUGGAACAUAGCCACAUUCAUUCAUGUAGGAAUCGUCUACGGUUUAUUUUGUGCUACAGUUGCAGAGUUGAGUCGUUGUGACCCAGAUCCUAUGGCCUGUAAAACCUAAAAUCCUAUCUGGCCCUUUACAGAGGAGGUUUGUCGAACUCUGCUUUAUGUUCUGCUGAAAACCAAAAACCAAACCAGUUUCAGAUUCAUGGUGAAGUUCUGCUAAGAAGUAUUCGAUUUGGGCUACCUGAGGGGGCAUAGGAUCAUUAGGGCUGGCCAGCUGGUGACACAAGAUACUAGGAAAGUUCUGGGUGGGGAACUGUAGGAUAAUAGGAGAUGGGGUUCAGAUCCCUGGAGGGGACAGGGCUCUUUCUAACAUUUUUUUUAAGAGACCCGGAAGCAUUACGGUAUACCCCGUCCUUUGUAAAGUUAAAAUUAAGCAAAAACAUUUGGAGUAGAAGAGAAAAAUUAUGUAUAAAAUUCAAAAGGUACAAAAAUAGAUUGUUGUUCUUAGUUGCUGUCAGUUUCGACUCAUAGCCACCCCAUGUAACAGAGUAGAACUGCCCCACAGGGUUUCCAAGGCUGCAGUCUUUCACAGAAGCGGAUCACCACGUCUUUCUCCCGUGGAGCCACCAGAGCUGCUGAUGGGUUGGAACUGCUGACCUUUCGGUUAGCAGUCGAGUGAGUGCUUAACCACUGCGUCACCAUGGUUACUGUCAAGUUGCCUUCUGCUGAGGCCGUCCUAAUUUAUGCUCCCAAGGGACUUGACAGCCUGUUUCUCCACAGCUUUACCAGCACAAGUGAGUGUGCUCUCAACCCUUUUGAUCUCUCUGAGUCUAAGUGGUGAAGAAUCCAUGGCUUUGUAGCCUUAAUUUGAAUUUCUCUGGUUCUCAGAGAGGUGGUGAAUAUUUUCAUGUCUUCAGUAGCCAUCUUUAUUCCUCCCCUCCAACAUCUGUUUGUCUAACAGAAGUGGUUCACAACUAGGGGCGAUUUUUGCCCCCUAGGGAACAUUGGACAAUGUCUGGAGACUUUCUAACGGCUUUAUUGAGAUGUAAUUUUGGUAGUCACAACUAGGGCGAGGGUUCUACUGGCACCUAGUGGGUAGAGGCCAGGAAUGCUGCUAAACCCUAUACCUAUGCACGUGAAAAGGAACCUGGGUUGCACAGUGGUUUAAGCACUUGGCUGCUAAGGAAAGGUCAGCAGUUCGAACCCACCAGCCGCUCAGCAGGUGAAAAGACCUGUUGAUCUGCUCCUGUAAAGAUUACAGCCUAGGAAACCCAAGGGGGCAGUUCUGCUCUGCCCUGUACAGUUGCCAUGAGUCGGAAUCAGCUCCACAGCACCCAACAAUAAUGUGCACAAGACAGCCCCCACAAUGAAGAAUUAUCCUGGCCCCAAAUAUCAGUAGGGUCAAGCCCUGUUUUCCACAGGUCCUUUCUUGCAAGGAGCUCGCAGUUGAGCUGCAGAGACAGAAGAGCCUAACACACACAAAAAAGACAAUGCAGACCUGCAUUCUGUGCCUGGCCCUGGGCACCUUGGGUGCCUAGCACCUCCCAGUCACCUCAGUGAGUCCUCCCUGGGCUUGAGGGAGGAGGGGACUGAGCUGCAGGGAGCAGGGCCGCCUCUCUCCCUGUUCCCACCCACAAGGCCAGCAUUUCCUUAUAGACAAGCAGCAUCUUAGCCGUAGCACUUAACAAGUUCCAGGUGUGUCCUAAGCAGUGUACAUUUGUUAGGUCAUUUAAUCCCCACAGCAACCCUGCGACUUCAGGCCUUUUUCAGCCCCAUUUCACAGAUGGGGAAACUGAGGCACAGCAUGGUGAAGCAACUUAGUCCGGGUCACAGCAAUGAAUAACAAUAACACCAACAACUAUCUUUUAUAUGGAACUUAGUAUGUGUGGUAAGGAGCCCUGGGGGCACAGUGGUUAAACACUUGGCUGCUAACCAAAAGGUUGGCAGUUCAAAUCCUUGGAAACCCUAUAGGGCAGUUCUACUCUGUCCUGAAGUGUUGCUAUGAGUUGGAGCUGACUUGACGGCACCUUACAACUAUAAUAACCAUUUGUGUUGGAAGGAACCCUGGUGGCGAAGUGGUUAAACGCUUGGCUGCUAACCAAAAGCUUGGUGGUUUGAACCCACCAGCCUCUUCCCGGAAGUAAGAUGUGGCAGUCUGCUUCCAUAAAGAUCUACGGCCUAAGAAACCCUACGGGGCAGUUCUACUCUGUCCUAUGUGAUUGCUAUGAAUAGGAAUCGACUCAAUGGUAACAUGUUUUUU